rnacentral:tRNA from 1 species
GGGGUUGUGGCCCAGCGGUAGAGCACUCACCUAGCAUGUGCGAGGCCCUGGGUUCAAUCCUCAGCAACAUAU